UACAGAGGUCCCAAGCGUUGUUCGGAUUCAUUGGGCGUAAAGGGUGCGUAGGCGGCGCGGUAAGUCGGGUGUGAAAUCUCGGAGCUUAACUCUGAAACUGCAUUCGAUACUGCCGUGCUUGAGGACUGGAGAGGAGACUGGAAUUUACGGUGUAGCGGUGAAAUGCGUAGAUAUCGUAAGGAAGACCAGUGGCGAAGGCGGGUCUCUGGACGACUCCUGACACUGAGGCACGAAAGCCAGGGGAGCAAACAGG
rnacentral:rRNA from 1 species